rnacentral:rRNA from 1 species
GAUGAACGCUGGCGGCGUGCCUAAUACAUGCAAGUCGAACGCUGGAGGUCUAGCUUGCUAGCUCGAAGGAGUGGCGAACGGGUGAGUAAUACAUAAGCAACCUACCCACGAAGGCUGGGAUAAUCUCUGGAAACGGGGACUAAUACCGGCUUGGUAAUCGGAAGGCCUCUUCUGGUUAUUAAAGGUUACAAACACUGCUGUAUGGGCUUAUGGCGCAUUAGUUAGUUGGUGAGGUAACGGCCCACCAAGACAAUGAGGCGUAGCCGGCCUGAGAGGGGGAACGGCCACAUUGGGACUGAGACACGGCCCAGACGCCUACGGGAGGCAGCAGUAGGGAAUUUUCGGCAAUGGGGGCAACCCUGACCGAGCAACGCCGCGUGAGUGAAGACGGCCUUCGGGUUGUAAAGCUCUGUUGUAAGGGAAGAACGGUAGAUAGAGAAUAUCUAAGUGACGGUACCUUACCAGAAAGCCACGGCUAACUACGUG